rnacentral:rRNA from 1 species
AUUGAACGCUGGCGGCAGGCCUAACACAUGCAAGUCGAGCGGAUGAAGGGAGCUUGCUCCUGGAUUCAGCGGCGGACGGGUGAGUAAUGCCUAGGAAUCUGCCUGGUAGUGGGGGAUAACGUCCGGAAACGGGCGCUAAUACCCCAUACGCCCUGAGGGCGAAAGGGGGGGAGCUUCGGACCUCACGCUAUCAGAUGAGCCUAGGUCGGAUUAGCUAGUUGGUGGGGUAAAGGCCUACCAAGGCGACGAUCCGUAACUGGUCUGAGAGGAUGAUCAGUCACACUGGAACUGAGACACGGUCCAGACUCCUACGGGAGGCAGCAGUGGGGAAUAUUGGACAAUGGGCGAAAGCCUGAUCCAGCCAUGCCGCGUGUGUGAAGAAGGUCUUCGGAUUGUAAAGCACUUUAAGUUGGGAGGAAGGGCAGUAAGUUAAUACCUUGCUGUUUUGACGUUACCAACAGAAUAAGCACCGGCUAACUUCGUG